ACGCACGCUGGCGGCGUGCUUCACACAUGCAAGUCGCACGGAAAGGCCCUGCUUUUGUGGGGUGCUCGAGUGGCGAACGGGUGAGUAACACGUGAGUAACCUGCCCUUGACUUUGGGAUAACUUCAGGAAACUGGGGCUAAUACCGGAUAGGAGCUCCUGCUGCAUGGUGGGGGUUGGAAAGUUUCGGCGGUUGGGGAUGGACUCGCGGCUUAUCAGCUUGUUGGUGGGGUAGUGGCUUACCAAGGCUUUGACGGGUAGCCGGCCUGAGAGGGUGACCGGCCAAAUUGGGACUGAGAUACGGCCCAGACUCCUACGGGAGGCAGCAGUGGGGAAUAUUGCACAAUGGGCGGAAGCCUGAUGCAGCAACGCCGCGUGCGGGAUGACGGCCUUCGGGUUGUAAACCGCUUUCGCCUGUGACGAAGCGUGAGUGACGGUAAUGGGUAAAGAAGCACCGGCUAACUACGUG
rnacentral:rRNA from 1 species